GGCUGGUCCCACCGCAGUGGUGUUUACAACUAAUUGAUCACAACAAAUUACAAAUUACAGAGUGGUUCCUUCUCCACUCCCACUGUCUCUCUUUACUAGCCUUUA
ensembl:misc_RNA Y_RNA Y RNA